UACGAAGGGGGCUAGCGUUGUUCGGAAUUACUGGGCGUAAAGCGCACGUAGGCGGAUUGACAAGUCAGGGGUGAAAUCCCGGGGCUCAACCUCGGAACUGCCUUUGAUACUGUCAGUCUAGAGUCCGGAAGAGGUGGGUGGAAUUCCUAGUGUAGAGGUGAAAUUCGCAGAUAUUAGGAGGAACACCGGUGGCGAAGGCGGGUCUCUGGGCCGAUACUGACGCUGAGGAGCGAAAGCGUGGGGAGCGAACAGG
rnacentral:rRNA from 1 species